UACGUAGGGGGCGAGCGUUUGUCCGGAUUCAUUGGGCGUAAAGAGCUCGUAGGCGGCUUGGCAAGUCGGGUGUGAAACCUCCAGGCUCAACCUGGAGACGCCACCCGAUACUGCCAUGGCUAGAGUCCGGUAGGGGACCACGGAAUUCCUGGUGUGAGCGGUGGAAAUGCGCAGAUAUCAGGAGGAACACCGGUGGCGAAGGCGGUGGUCUGGGGCCGGCACUGACGCUGAGGAGCGAAAGCGUGGGGAGCGAACAGG
rnacentral:rRNA from 1 species